GCUCCCUUUGGGUUACCUCUUCUAAGUCCAUCCUACUAGCCUCCUUGUCCUAUCCAUUAAAGAUCCAGCUCUAUAAACUGCACUCGGACUCUUUUUGGAGUUACUCAACGCAGUCCUGCUGGGAACCCCCAAAUACAGGCUGGCUGUGUCCUUUACUUGUUUUCACCAUUUACCUAACAAUGAGGUUACAAGAUUAUUGGUUGAUACCACCAGCAAAGUGGAUGUGUCUUCCUCUUAGCCCUGAGUUUACUGGCCUAUGUCUCAAUCAUCUCUGAAAACACCACAAAGAUAUAUAGCUGAGAAGAUAUGAAUGGUGAGAGGUGAUAUGAGCAUUUUCUGGAUUGCAAGUCAAUGUAGGCAGUUUUUCAGUUCACGACUGUGGCAUGGCACAAAGGAUGAAAAACUACAUGGAGUCCAUGUCCAAUUCAAACUCCAAGAAGACCCAGAGGGACUCCCCUAACCGAGCCCCUUCAGUGUGAAAGUCUCCUCAGGACAGCCCUAAACUCAAGUUUUGCACGGUUUUUAUUUAUGGAACCAGGAAGGAAGGAUAAAAGAUAGAGGAAGGACAUCAGUGCAGGAAUCCAUGUAAGGUGAAGUUAAA